rnacentral:rRNA from 1 species
CAUGCAGUCGUACGCUUCUUUUUCCACCGGAGCUUGCUCCACCGGAAAAAGAGGAGUGGCGAACGGGUGAGUAACACGUGGGUAACCUGCCCAUCAGAAGGGGAUAACACUUGGAAACAGGUGCUAAUACCGUAUAACAAUCGAAACCGCAUGGUUUUGAUUUGAAAGGCGCUUUCGGGUGUCGCUGAUGGAUGGACCCGCGGUGCAUUAGCUAGUUGGUGAGGUAACGGCUCACCAAGGCCACGAUGCAUAGCCGACCUGAGAGGGUGAUCGGCCACAUUGGGACUGAGACACGGCCCAAACUCCUACGGGAGGCAGCAGUAGGGAAUCUUCGGCAAUGGACGAAAGUCUGACCGAGCAACGCCGCGUGAGUGAAGAAGGUUUUCGGAUCGUAAAACUCUGUUGUUAGAGAAGAAUAAGGAUGAGAGUAACUGUUCAUCCCUUGACGGUAUCUAACCAGAAAGCCACGGCUAACUACGUGCCAGCAGCCGCGGUAAUACGUAGGUGGCAAGCGUUGUCCGGAUUUAUUGGGCGUAAAGCGAGCGCAGGCGGUUUCUUAAGUCUGAUGUGAAAGCCCCCGGCUCAACCGGGGAGGGUCAUUGGAAACUGGGAGACUUGAGUGCAGAAGAGGAGAGUGGAAUUCCAUGUGUAGCGGUGAAAUGCGUAGAUAUAUGGAGGAACACCAGUGGCGAAGGCGGCUCUCUGGUCUGUAACUGACGCUGAGGCUCGAAAGCGUGGGGAGCAAACAGGAUUAGAUACCCUGGUAGUCCACGCCGUAAACGAUGAGUGCUAAGUGUUGGAGGGUUUCCGCCCUUCAGUGCUGCAGCUAACGCAUUAAGCACUCCGCCUGGGGAGUACGACCGCAAGGUUG